AAGUCGUAACAAGGUUUCCGUAGGUGAACCUGCGGAAGGAUCAUUUCCAAAAAGCAAAUUGUGCCUUACAAUCAAUAUACACCUUUUGGUGUGUGAAAAGUAAUGGAAUUGGUACCUUAUCAAUUUUACUCUCUCUUCUAAUUUUGGUUAUGCAUCGCGUAUGCAGACCAUCAUUUAGUAAGAGAGAGGCCUUGAUGAACCCACAUCCUUUUGUAAAGGACUCUACAUUUAUUUUAAGUAAAUGUUUAGUACCUUGAACAGGACGUUAACAAAAAGUCUCGAUAUGUUUCCAAGUAAAAAAAGAGAAAGAGUUGGUGUACUUGAAGUAUCUAGUAUACUACAAUAUACACUCAACAAACUACUCUAUACACAAGCAAAUAUACAGACAACUUUUAACGGUGGAUCUCUUGGCUCGU
rnacentral:misc_RNA from 1 species